UCCCACCUACUCUCCACACCUCUCUGCCAUAUCUCAAUUAUAUCAAAUCAUGGAGACUUUACUCAUACCAAAGAGACUUUACUCAUUCUACACAAAAGACAUGUUGCAUUUUUCUCAUCUGCAUUCAAGAAGGCAAGAACGCACAAAAGAAGCCACCAAGCACCAAGCACCAACCAUCAUUAACCCUCAAGGCUUUGUGGACCAAGGGGAUUAGCACUGUUUUCCCAAGACAGGUUAUGUGAUUAUGAUCUUCAGGCUUUGCCUAUCCAGGUUGAGCAGUUGAUGGAAUGGAAUGAUGUUGAGCGGGUGUUCCUUUGACAUUUCAAGAAAUGUAACCUUGAGUAUACAUCUUCAUAUGUAUAUCUCACACGUUUUCCGCUGCAAAACACUUGAUUAGGAUAGCUCUAUGAUAUGAAGUUGUGAUACGUGUUAUUGGGUAACCACCUUAAUCAGUUCUCAAUUAUGUGUAUCCAAAUAAUCAUAUAUGAUCCUAGCAUUUUAUCUAUGAGUGACAUUUCCAUAUACUUUAAUGUUAAGUAAUUGUCCAUUUCCA